GCCAAAUGUGGUGUAGUGGUUUGAGUGUUGGACUAUGACUCUGGAGACCAGGGUUUGAACCCCUACUUGGCA